rnacentral:rRNA from 1 species
UACGGGGGGAGCAAGCGUUGUUCGGAUUUACUGGGCGUAAAGGGCGCGUAGGCGGCGCCGCAAGUCGACUGUGAAAUCUCCGGGCUUAACUCGGAAAGGUCAACUGAUACUGUGCGACUAGAGUGCAGAAGGGGCAACUGGAAUUCUCGGUGUAGCGGUGAAAUGCGUAGAUAUCGAGAGGAACACCUGCGGCGAAGGCGGGUUGCUGGGCUGACACUGACGCUGAUGCGCGAAAGCUAGGGGAGCGAACGGG